rnacentral:rRNA from 1 species
CUUGCACCUGGUGGCGAGUGGCGAACGGGUGAGUAAUACAUCGGAACAUGUCCUGUAGUGGGGGAUAGCCCGGCGAAAGCCGGAUUAAUACCGCAUACGAUCUACGGAUGAAAGCGGGGGACCUUCGGGCCUCGCGCUAUAGGGUUGGCCGAUGGCUGAUUAGCUAGUUGGUGGGGUAAAGGCCUACCAAGGCGACGAUCAGUAGCUGGUCUGAGAGGACGACCAGCCACACUGGGACUGAGACACGGCCCAGACUCCUACGGGAGGCAGCAGUGGGGAAUUUUGGACAAUGGGCGAAAGCCUGAUCCAGCAAUGCCGCGUGUGUGAAGAAGGCCUUCGGGUUGUAAAGCACUUUUGUCCGGAAAGAAAUCCUUGGUUCUAAUAUAGCCGGGGGAUGACGGUACCGGAAGAAUAAGCACCGGCUAACUACGUGCCAGCAGCCGCGGUAAUACGUAGGGUGCGAGCGUUAAUCGGAAUUACUGGGCGUAAAGCGUGCGCAGGCGGUUUGCUAAGACCGAUGUGAAAUCCCCGGGCUCAACCUGGGAACUGCAUUGGUGACUGGCAGGCCAGAGUAUGGCAGAGGGGGGUAGAAUUCCACGUGUAGCAGUGAAAUGCGUAGAGAUGUGGAGGAAUACCGAUGGCGAAGGCAGCCCCCUGGGCCGAUACUGACGCUCAUGCACGAAAGCGUGGGGAGCAAACAGG